AUGUCGCCGCCGGCCUCGCCUCCCUCGCCUCGUCCGGCGCCACCGCCCCCGCUGGAAAAGGCAUUUCAAGCUUUGGAGGCAUUCAAGGUGCAACACAAUGGCAAGUGCUUCAACCUCUCCCAUUGCAAUCGGGUCAUCAAGGACGAGGAGAAGUUCAAGGCGCAAUAUGUCACACUCAUGUCGCGUGGGGGGAAGAAAGCCGUGGAGGAUGUUGGGGAGGGCGAGCCGGCACGGCCGCGGGGGAAGACCAACUCCAAGAAGGAGGACAAGCGAGAUGCGGUCACCAACGCUUUGAUCGCAACCGUGGACGGCAUGAUCAACAAGAAGGACUCAAGGGAAGAGGAGCACCGGCGUUUCAAGGCGGAGCAAAUGGGCGCUUUCAUGGAGAUCCAAAGGAGGAGGCUUGACCUGUGUUAG
rnacentral:rRNA from 1 species